rnacentral:rRNA from 1 species
AGAGUUUGAUCCUGGCUCAGGAUGAACGCUAGCGAUAGGCUUAACACAUGCAAGUCGAGGGGCAGCAUGGUCUUAGCUUGCUAAGACUGAUGGCGACCGGCGCACGGGUGCGUAACGCGUAUGCAACUUGCCUCACAGAGGGGGAUAACCCGUCGAAAGACGGACUAAUACCGCGUACACUCCAUCUUGGGCAUCCAAGGAGGAGGAAAUGAAUUUCGCUGUGAGAUAGGCAUGCGUCCCAUUAGCUUGUUGGUGAGGUAACGGCUCACCAAGGCGACGAUGGGUAGGGGAACUGAGAGGUUGAACCCCCACACUGGUACUGAGACACGGACCAGACUCCUACGGGAGGCAGCAGUGAGGAAUAUUGGUCAAUGGGCGAGAGCCUGAACCAGCCAAGUCGCGUGAAGGAUGACUGUCUUAUGGAUUGUAAACUUCUUUUAUACGGGAAUAACAAGAGUCACGUGUGACUCCCUGCAUGUACCGUAUGAAUAAGCAUCGGCUAACUCCGUGCCAGCAGCCGCGGUAAUACGGAGGAUGCGAGCGUUAUCCGGAUUUAUUGGGUUUAAAGGGUGCGUAGGCGGCCUGUUAAGUCAGCGGUGAAAUCUAGGAGCUUAACUCCUAAAUUGCCAUUGAAACUGGCGGGCUUGAGUGUAGAUGAGGUAGGCGGAAUGCGUGGUGUAGCGGUGGAAUGCAUAGAUAUCACGCAGAACUCCAAUUGCGAAGGCAGCUUACUAAGGUACAACUGACGCUGAAGCACGAAAGCGUGGGUAUCAAACAGGAUUAGAUACCCUGGUAGUCCACGCAGUAAACGAUGAUAACUGGGCGUAUGCGAUAUACAGUAUGCUCCUAAGCGAAAGCGUUAAGUUAUCCACCUGGGGAGUACGCCGGCAACGGUGAAACUCAAAGGAAUUGACGGGGGCCCG